rnacentral:lncRNA from 9 species
CUUUACUUCAGGAAAAGCAGGCUAUGAAGGAGAAGCCGCUUGCUUACAAAGUCUUUGUGGAAAUAAAAGGAAAAUGAAUAUAGGCAUUCCAGAACGUGAUUAUCUAGAUUGGAAGGAAGUUUAAUUUCGAGACUUAAGUGAAACACGCACACACGUUCUUGGAUAGUAGUUGGAAGAUAUUUCCAGGGAAUCUAAUUUAAAAGCAAUUAUUUAAAUCACUCUCAAAAUUUUGGUGUAUUUGUUAAAUCCACACUAGUCUUUUAAAACAAGUUCCUAUUAAGUAGGAAGAAGAGUUUAGAUAUCUUCUUCAAUUAAGCAUUGAUUUUUUAUUUUUCUUUUGGCAAGUUAAUAUAAUUCCAAGGCAUGGAAGCAAUAAUAGUAAUUACAUAUGCACAUAUGCCAUCAUCUCUAACUGAAAUAUUCUGGGUAGUAAUAUCAGUAAACAUGAAUAAUCCAAGAGUUAACUUUAUAUGUGUGCAGGGGAAAUGGAGGCAGGCAGAGAGUACAACACGUGAGAAGACGCUUUUGUGGCGGGAAGCCUGGCACAUUCAAGGGGCUAAACAAGUGCAGUGCAGUUGGAGUGCAGAGACUAAAAGGAGUCAGGAACAUGACAAUAAGGAUACUGUGCCCAUCAGGAAAAAACUGGGUUUACAUCCGGUCAUACAGAAGCAUAUCAGCCUGGCAGAGCGUGUGGUGAGUCUGAAGGGACCAUCAGUAUACAUUACAGGGUUUUAGAUCCUGUGUGUGGAUGGUUUUAGUCGUGUUGCUUUAAUAUGGGAAUGUGAUUGUGAUUAAAGAGUUUGCUGUUAUUGAAUGAAAUAAGAACGCACGACGUCAGAGUUGUGAGUUAAGCUUUAUUCGGGAACCUUACUGAGGACCUGCAGUGCACGAAGCAGCCUCCCAGGUGGCUCUGAGAAACUGCUGCAGAGAGGUCAAGGGAGCUGUCAGCUGUAUUUUUUGCUGGAAAAACACAUGUGGUCUAACAUCACAAGAUUACUGCUAAUCGCAAACAUCUCAAGUUAAUAAUUUCUGUGCUUCUCUAUUUAUGGGAAGAGGCACAGAUCUGGGGUCAUUUGAGUUUUUUUCUUAGCAUCUUAACUAUCUCGGGGCCAGUUUAAUCCAAAACUCAGAGUACUUCCUAUUUUUCCCUGUCCUGGAUUUCCCUGGGUGUAAAUUGUCCGUGGGCGACUGCAUGGGCUUGAUCCUUGUGGAAAUGGAGUGGAAGGUAAUAGUUUGUUCUUUACACCGCUAAGAGUUUCGGGAGGGUGGACAUAGUGAUGUAGGGUGGUUAAAGUGACUCUCAAUUAAGUGAAUUGUUUUUGAUAAGUCACUGGUUUUUCCAGGCAAGUAAACUGUUGUUUCUAGCAGUGUUUUGUUUGUCCACACCAUCAACUUAUUGCUCUGAGAAUGUGACCAUUUGAACAGUCAGAUAAAUUGAUUUUUAGGAAGUUCCUGAAGUAAGCAGUGAAGUUAUUUACCAGUUUAUAGUUUAAUCCUCCUGGGCAAGAAUUUCUUGGAAAAAAUCCUCAGGUCUUGUUUCAUAUAAGCAGCCUAAAUAAUUCUCAGCAUAAUCAAAGUUAUAGAGAGAAAGUUCCUUGGUGAAUUAAUAUCAUUAAAAUUUUCUCCACACAACUGAAUUCUUAACUAAAUAAUUUAAAGUAAUUGGUUAGUUUUAGAAAUCUCAGUACCCUUUUUAUGUCUCCGUGCUUCCCAAUUAUUAUACUUUAUUAACAACAGACCAGAAUCUGCAAACAAAUGUAAUGGUUUUCUUUUUUAAUAAGCGUUCCCGCCAUGUCUCUCUUUUCCUCUCUCUCACAAUCGCUCUGUCUCUCAUUCUCUCUGUGACAUUAGAACGUGUAAAUAAUAGUCGACAUUUAUGCACAUAUAUUUUAACUAUUAAUUCGCAGAAUACCAUAAGACAAUAUAAUAUUAAAUCCCUUGAAACAUUUGUGAAACUUCUCCUUUUAUUUUUCAUUUAAACAGAUGUUAUUUUCCCUGGAUAUGAAGAUUAGAUGUUUAUGAAAUUCUUCCGUUCAUAUUUGCAAGUAAAUGGUGGACAUGCAUAGGAAUGAGACAAUUUCACAAAAAUUGCUCAAUGUCAUAGACAAAGUGCAUGCACGUUAACACAAAAUCCAUACUACUAAAAUGUUAAUAAAACUGAUUUUGAAAUAAUAGUGCCUUUAAUUUCUAAGGGAUAUUAAAAAUAUGUUUGCUAUUGUCAGAACAUUUUUUUAAAAUGAUCUAAAGGUCCUUAAAGUUUUGCUUUUGCUAAUUGCUUUAUUACUCAUAAGGUGUGCAUAGAGAAAGAAAAUUUGUUUUGCAAACUACUCUUUCCUUUCUUCAUAUAUUUAUGGCACAUUCAGUGCUUGCAAAGAGAUUAAACUCAGAAGCCGCAAUUGCUCUACUUAGAUGUUACUCAUAUAAUGUCUCUUUAUGGUUUUAAAAUUCUUGGCCAAAGAAUAAAAAGCAAGGAAAUAAUGUAGAUAUUCUAUUUUUUAACUUAGCCUUAGGAUAUUUCUUCCUACAUAAAUCUUAAAAAUUAAGUAAAGUUGUCCUUGUUGAUUUUGUUUUGAUUUGGUUUUGGAGAGAGUGUGGUUUGAAUGUUACAUACCAAGUAUUUUGCUAUCUAGUGAAAACAGUUCAAAAGCUACUAAUUUAUAGGAAAGCAAAUGCCUGAAUAAGGCAAGGUGUCUGAUGCUUAUUAGGUGAUGUAUACAACCAAGAAACAAAAAUAAAAGAAAAAGGAAAUACAUCAGUCCCCUCCUUGGACUGUCCAUCUAGAUUUGUGACAUCAGCAUUAAAGGAAACCGUUUGUACUUCUUCCUGUCUCUUAGCUUAUUAUUCAAUAUUUUUAUAGUUCUUUUCCUC